CAAUAGCGUAUAUUAAAGUUGUUGCAGUUAAAAAGCUCGUAGUCGGAUUUUGGCAUCAUGCCGAACUGUCAGCCGAUUGGUUUGUACGGUUUGGCGGGUGCUCUCCUUCCGGAGGCUCGUUUCCUCUUUCAUUAGAGGGUUCGAUGGUUCCGGGUCUUUUACUUUGAAAAAUUAGAGUGUUCAAAGCAGGCCUAUGCUCUGAAUAGGUUAGCAUGGAAUAAUAAAAUAGGACUUUGGUUCUAUUUUGUUGGUUUCUUAGGACCGAAGUAAUGAUUAAUAGGGACAGUUGGGGGCGAUUAGUAUUUAAUUGUCAGAGGUGGAAAUUACUUGGAUUUAUUGAAAGACUAACUACUGCGAAAGACAUUUGUCCAAGGAAUGUUUUUCUAUUAAUCAAGAACGAAAGUUAGGGGAGUCGAAGACGAUCAGAUACCAU
rnacentral:rRNA from 1 species